GACGAACGCUGGCGGCGUGCUUAACACAUGCAAGUCGUACGGCAAGGCCCUUUCGGGGGUACACGAGUGGCGAACGGGUGAGUAACACGUGAGUAACCUGCCCACAACUUUGGGAUAACGCUAGGAAACUGGUGCUAAUACUGGAUAUGUGCCCCUGCUGCAUGGUGGGGGUUGGAAAGCUCCGGCGGUUGUGGAUGGACUCGCGGCCUAUCAGCUUGUUGGUGGGGUAGUGGCCUACCAAGGCGGCGACGGGUAGCCGGCCUGAGAGGGUGACCGGCCACAUUGGGACUGAGAUACGGCCCAGACUCCUACGGGAGGCAGCAGUGGGGAAUAUUGCACAAUGGGCGCAAGCCUGAUGCAGCAACGCCGCGUGCGGGAUGACGGCCUUCGGGUUGGAAACCGCUUUCAGCAGGGACGAAGCUUUUUGUGACGGUACCUGCAGAAGAAGCACCGGCUAACUACGUG
rnacentral:rRNA from 1 species